rnacentral:rRNA from 1 species
GGCAAGACGGAAAGACCCCGUGAACCUUUACUAUAGCUUGACACUGAACAUUGAGCCUUGAUGUGUAGGAUAGGUGGGAGGCUUUGAAGCGUGGACGCCAGUCUGCGUGGAGCCGACCUUGAAAUACCACCCUUUAAUGUUUGAUGUUCUAACGUGGACCCGUAAUCCGGGUUGCGGACAGUGUCUGGUGGGUAGUUUGACUGGGGCGGUCUCCUCCUAAAGAGUAACGGAGGAGCACGAAGGUUGGCUAAUCCUGGUCGGACAUCAGGAGGUUAGUGCAAUGGCAUAAGCCAGCUUGACUGCGAGCGUGACGGCGCGAGCAGGUGCGAAAGCAGGUCAUAGUGAUCCGGUGGUUCUGAAUGGAAGGGCCAUCGCUCAACGGAUAAAAGGUACUCCGGGGAUAACAGGCUGAUACCGCCCAAGAGUUCAUAUCGACGGCGGUGUUUGGCACCUCGAUGUCGGCUCAUCACAUCCUGGGGCUGAAGUAGGUCCCAAGGGUAUGGCUGUUCGCCAUUUAAAGUGGUACGCGAGCUGGGUUUAGAACGUCGUGAGACAGUUCGGUCCCUAUCUGCCGUGGGCGCUGGAGAACUGAGGGGGGCUGCUCCUAGUACGAGAGGACCGGAGUGGACGCAUCACUGGUGUUCGGGUUGUCAUGCCAAUGGCACUGCCCGGUAGCUAAAUGCGGAAGAGAUAAGUGCUGAAAGCAUCUAAGCACGAAACUUGCCCCGAGAUGAGUUCUCCCUGAGACUUAGAGUCUCCUGAAGGAACGUUGAAGACGACGACGUUGAUAGGCCGGGUGUGUAAGCGCAGCGAUGCGUUGAGCUAACCGGUACUAAUGAACCGUGAGG